rnacentral:lncRNA from 1 species
UUAUACUAGCUUGCUUGUAUUUGUUGAAGUGUUUGAUCAUAAAGAAGCUGAACCGCCACCUGUAUUUUGUGAUGUUCGUCAAGUGUUUCUCUCUUAACUCCAAAAUCCUUUAAAAUAGUUGAUACUUUUUCCGUCACGCUUAGUAGUUUCAAACAAACAUCACAUUUAACCUUAGGCGUUAACGACUUUAAUUUCGGACUUAAAUCUAACAUUAAUUUGUAAUGCCUAACCAUCUCCAUAAAUCUUUCUAUCACAUCUCUUCCACUAUCGAUUCUUAGAGCCUCGAAAUCGUUCAACACUUUUAAAAAUUCAUCGUACUUUUCACACUGGCUAGAAUCAUCAACGUAAUCCUUCAUCGCAAAGAUAUAUAUAAUUUAUUGUUAAUUAAAUAAUUAAUUCAAAACUAAACAAAGAUUAGGGUACAUACAUACCAUUUGUAUUUGCUGCAGCCUGCAGGGUUAGAGUUGGAGCGGCAGACCUGAUGUGAAGAGAUCAAAUUUNN